GAUGAACGCUGGCGGCGUGCCUAAUACAUGCAAGUCGAGCGAACGGACGAGAAGCUUGCUUCUCUGAUGUUAGCGGCGGACGGGUGAGUAACACGUGGAUAACCUACCUAUAAGACUGGGAUAACUUCGGGAAACCGGAGCUACUACCGGAUAAUAUUUUGAACCGCAUGGUUCAAAAGUGAAAGUCGGUCUUGCUGUCACUUAUAGAUUGAUCCGCGCUGCAUUCGCUAGUUGGUAAGGUAACGGCUUACCAAGGCAACGAUGCAUAGCCGACCUGAGAGGGUGAUCGGCCACACUGGAACUGAGACACGGUCCAGACUCCUACGGGAGGCAGCAGUAGGGAAUCUUCCGCAAUGGGCGAAAGCCUGACGGAGCAACGCCGCGUGAGUGAUGAAGGUCUUCGGAUCGUAAAACUCUGUUAUUAGGGAAGAACAUAUGUGUAAGUAACUGUGCACAUCUUGACGGUACCUAAUCAGAAAGCCACGGCUAACUACGUG
rnacentral:rRNA from 1 species